AUUGAACGCUGGCGGCAUGCCUUACACAUGCAAGUCGAACGGCAGCACGGGUGCUUGCACCUGGUGGCGAGUGGCGAACGGGUGAGUAAUACAUCGGAACAUGUCCUGUAGUGGGGGAUAGCCCGGCGAAAGCCGGAUUAAUACCGCAUACGAUCUACGGAUGAAAGCGGGGGACCUUCGGGCCUCGCGCUAUAGGGUUGGCCGAUGGCUGAUUAGCUAGUUGGUGGGGUAAAGGCCUACCAAGGCGACGAUCAGUAGCUGGUCUGAGAGGACGACCAGCCACACUGGGACUGAGACACGGCCCAGACUCCUACGGGAGGCAGCAGUGGGGAAUUUUGGACAAUGGGCGAAAGCCUGAUCCAGCAAUGCCGCGUGUGUGAAGAAGGCCUUCGGGUUGUAAAGCAGUUUUGUCCGGAAAGAAAUCCUUGGCCCUAAUACGGUCGGGGGAUGACGGUACCGGAAGAAUAAGCACCGGCUAACUACGUG
rnacentral:rRNA from 1 species